AUGUUAAGUUUACAUCUUUCUCAUGUGAAAUGUGAAAGUAUGUUUUCAAACUUACAACUGCUAUUUAUUGCUUUAAAAGCUCCUGACCUGUUUAAGCUGCAAAGAAGAGUGCUCUUUGCUGAAGCUGAUGUGACUGAGAAGAUAUCCUGGAGGUUGGGGCUGAACGGAAGGCUGGAAGACCUUCCAAGAAACUUCAGCUUUCUCAAGUCUUGCAGUAUGCAUGUUCAGUAACAGCAAAUGACUACAGUCGAGGUUGACUGCUCCCAUUGUUGAACAAGGUUCAACACCACAUCUCAGCUGGAAACAAGAUUCACCUCACAGCCCCAGAGGGAAGCGGUUCCAGCACCAGCAACGACUCAGAGAAACCACAAGUCCUAUCAACUCCUUGUGAAGAACCUGCUUAGAAACACAGGCAGGUACCACACUGAGCAAACUGCCACCCUGCCAUAAGCAUGUAUUUGCUUAUGGCCAUUGAACAUAGAGCCACAUCUACACAUGGUAGCGCAUACAGCACACAGUAACCUAUACUUACACAUAUAAACUGCAACAAGGAAAUGGCAGCACCAAAGAGCCACAGAUGACCAGUUCCUCAAUCGCCUGAGGAAGGAGAGAAGCGAGGGCUUCUUCAAAACCACAUACAUUUUUUAAACGAGUGUCUGGACAGUGCAAAGGAUUAGGGUGGAAAAGCACUACGGGUGCCCAAACAAAUGCUGCCACUCUUAAAGGCUGUUGAGACAAAGAUUUGGUUCAAUGGAAAGCAAACAAAAAACCUAUUUCAAAGUUUUAAUUGCUAAACUCUCAGUGGGAAACAGACAACACAAAGUUUACUCUUCGGUCGCAGAAAAUUCACCUUUUAAUUUCUGUGUUAUGGUUUCAUACUACAGGUAGAAAAGCCAGCAGCAGUUCUCAAAGUCAAACAAGUCUUAUUAGAAAAAAAACUACAUAGAAAUAACCACCUUUCGUGGCAUCAGUCAUCAAUCUUGCACUCCUCUACCUGGCAGCUCCUGCCUUCCUUGCAUGUGGACGCUGAAAUCAGACCUAUUUUGAGCAAGCAGCUUUUUACCUCUGGAAGAAAAAGGGACAAUACAAAGCUGCCUGGUUUGCUUUGUGAAAGGGGCUCUGGCAGUGGACAGAGAAUGAAGACUUUUAUUUGAGAAAGACCAAGUAGCCCACCAUGAAAUUGGUGAGAUGGUGUUGAGCCAGAGCACUAGGAAGAAAAUCAUGGUUGAAUAGGAAUCUUCCUAAAGGGCUCUACAGAGUUUUGGGUGGGCCAGACAGGAGCCUGUGACCAAUAAAGACCGGAAACAAGUUUGUGAGGAACA
rnacentral:lncRNA from 1 species